rnacentral:rRNA from 1 species
UACAGAGGUCCCAAGCGUUGUUCGGAUUCACUGGGCGUAAAGGGUGCGUAGGUGGCCAGGUAAGUUCGGUGUGAAAGCUCGGAGCUUAACUCCGAAAUGGCAUUGAAUACUAUCUGGCUGGAGGGUCGGAGGGGAGACUGGAAUUCUCGGUGUAGCAGUGAAAUGCGUAGAUAUCGAGAGGAACACCAGUGGCGAAGGCGAGUCUCUGGACGACUCCUGACACUGAGGCACGAAAGCCAAGGGGAGCAAACCAGG